rnacentral:tRNA from 1 species
GGGGGUGUAGCUCAGCUGGGAGAGCGCCUGCCUUGCAAGCAGGAGGUCAGGAGUUCGAACCUCCUCAUCUCCACCA